rnacentral:tRNA from 1 species
GGACUCGUCAUCUAAUGGUAGGAUGCAUCGUUGACUUCGAUGAAGCCCAGGUCCGAUUCCUGGCGGGUCCA